AUUGAACGCUGGCGGCAGGCCUAACACAUGCAAGUCGAGCGGCAGCGGAAAGUAGCUUGCUACUUUGCCGGCGAGCGGCGGACGGGUGAGUAAUGUCUGGGAAACUGCCUGAUGGAGGGGGAUAACUACUGGAAACGGUAGCUAAUACCGCAUAAUGUCGCAAGACCAAAGAGGGGGACCUUCGGGCCUCUUGCCAUCAGAUGUGCCCAGAUGGGAUUAGCUAGUAGGUGGGGUAACGGCUCACCUAGGCGACGAUCCCUAGCUGGUCUGAGAGGAUGACCAGCCACACUGGAACUGAGACACGGUCCAGACUCCUACGGGAGGCAGCAGUGGGGAAUAUUGCACAAUGGGCGCAAGCCUGAUGCAGCCAUGCCGCGUGUAUGAAGAAGGCCUUCGGGUUGUAAAGUACUUUCAGCGGGGAGGAAGGUGUUGAGGUUAAUAACCUCAGCAAUUGACGUUACCCGCAGAAGAAGCACCGGCUAACUCCGUGCCAGCAGCCGCGGUAA
rnacentral:rRNA from 1 species